GGGGGUAUAUAUUUCUUCGGGAGCAUAGAGACCGGCGCACGGGUGCGUAACGCGUAUGCAAUCUACCUUUUACAGAGGGAUAGCCCAGAGAAAUUUGGAUUAAUACCUCAUAGUAUUAUAGAAUGGCAUCAUUUUAUAAUUAAAGUCACAACGGUAAAAGAUGAGCAUGCGUCCCAUUAGCUAGUUGGUAAGGUAACGGCUUACCAAGGCUACGAUGGGUAGGGGUCCUGAGAGGGAGAUCCCCCACACUGGUACUGAGACACGGACCAGACUCCUACGGGAGGCAGCAGUGAGGAAUAUUGGACAAUGGGCGCAAGCCUGAUCCAGCCAUGCCGCGUGCAGGAUGACGGUCCUAUGGAUUGUAAACUGCUUUUAUACGAGAAGAAACACUCCGACGUGUAGCAGCUUGACGGUAUCGUAAGAAUAAGGAUCGGCUAACUCCGUGCCAGCAGCCGCGGUAAUACGGAGGAUCCAAGCGUUAUCCGGAAUCAUUGGGUUUAAAGGGUCCGUAGGCGGUUUAAUAAGUCAGUGGUGAAAGCCCAUCGCUCAACGGUGGAACGGCCAUUGAUACUGUUAGACUUGAAUUAUUAGGAAGUAACUAGAAUAUGUAGUGUAGCGGUGAAAUGCUUAGAGAUUACAUGGAAUACCAAUUGCGAAGGCAGGUUACUACUAAUGGAUUGACGCUGAUGGACGAAAGCGUGGGUAGCGAACAGGAUUAGAUACCCUGGUAGUCCACGCCGUAAACGAUGGAUACUAGCUGUUGGAAGCAAUUUCAGUGGCUAAGCGAAAGUGAUAAGUAUCCCACCUGGGGAGUACGUUCGCAAGAAUGAAACUCAAAGGAAUUGACGGGGGCCCGCACAAGCGGUGGAGCAUGUGGUUUAAUUCGAUGAUACGCGAGGAACCUUACCAAGGCUUAAAUGUAGAUUGACCGGUUUGGAAACAGAUCUUUCGCAAGACAAUUUACAAGGUGCUGCAGGGUUGUCGUCAGCUCGUGCCGUGAGGUGUCAGGUUAAGUCCUAUAACGAGCGCAACCCCUGUUGUUAGUUGCCACCCAGUCAUGUCGGGAACUCUAACAAGACUGCCAGUGCAAACUGUGAGGAAGGUGGGGAUGACGUCAAAUCAUCACGGCCCUUACGCCUUGGGCUACACACGUGCUACAAUGGCCGGUACAGAGAGCAGCCACUGGGCGACCAGGAGCGAAUCUAUAAAACCGGUCACAGUUCGGAUCGGAGUCUGCAACUCGACUCCGUGAAGCUGGAAUCGCCUAGUAAUCGGA
rnacentral:rRNA from 1 species